CAUUCAUGAAACACCAGUUCCCGUAUGAUCCUCGAAGUUAAACAACAUUGAGCAUAGUCAGUACAGAGAUCAGUGAUCACUUGGGAAUACCAGGUGCUGUAAG